UGGAGACCCCAUACCACCCUGAACGCGCCUGAUCUCGUCUGAUCUCGGAAGCUAAGCAGGGUCGGGCCUGGUUAGUACUUGGAUGGGAAAUAAGAGGAUCUGGGUGGCUGCUGCGA
ensembl:rRNA 5S_rRNA 5S ribosomal RNA